rnacentral:rRNA from 1 species
CAGCCGCCGCGGUAAUACGUAGGGUGCGAGCGUUAAUCGGAAUUACUGGGCGUAAAGCGUGUGCAGGCGGUUAUAUAAGACUGAUGUGAAAUCCGGGCUCAACCUGGGACCUGCAUUUGAGACUGUAUAGCUAGAGUACGGUAGAGGGGGAUGGAAUUCCGCGUGUAGCAGUGAAAUGCGUAGAUAUGCGGGGGAACACCGAUGGCGAAGGCAAUCCCCUGGACCUGUACUGACGCUCAUGCACGAAAGCGUGGGGAGCAAACAGGAUUAGAUACCCCUGUAGUCCCUGUCUCUUAUACCC